rnacentral:rRNA from 1 species
UACGAAGGGGGCUAGCGUUGUUCGGAAUUACUGGGCGUAAAGCGCACGUAGGCGGAUCGAUCAGUCAGGGGUGAAAUCCCAGGGCUCAACCCUGGAACUGCCUUUGAUACUGUCGAUCUGGAGUAUGGAAGAGGUGAGUGGAAUUCCGAGUGUAGAGGUGAAAUUCGUAGAUAUUCGGAGGAAUACCGGUGGCGAAGGCGGCAUCCUGGACCAUAACUGACGCUGAGGCGCGAAAGCUAGGGGAGCAAACGGG